AAGCGGCUGCGCGUGCGCGGUGCCGGGGGAGGCCGGGGCUGCAAGGCUGCGGUUGCUAACCCGGUUGGAAGCGUGUGGUGUGUUAAAAGGAGAAUACUCAGCGGCGGCUACGCAGACGUGACGGAAGGGCCGCUCCAGUGACGCAGUUGCUGCUGUCUGCUCUCAGUGCCUCUCCUCUCCCAUCCCCAAGAACUGUUGGCAGCUUUAUUGGUUACUGUGAAUUGCCUCAACUAUGCAGGUUUGGAAGAGGACCAGAAGAAAUUGAAGAACCAUAUUGAGGAAGUGUGCUAAGUUGAACUGCAUCACAAGUUUGAAGAAUGCUUGGUUUAAUUGUGCAAGGAUAAAUCAAGUAUGCCACUGAGUAGCUCAAAAUAUUCCCCUGCUCCCUCCUUCAGUUGUGGGCAAGAUAAGGAUGACCACUUCUUUGAAUGUAGCUGGACUAAAGUAUGAUCAUUGAGGUAUUAUUGAGGAGAGGGAUUCUUUAAGAGAGUUUGGUCAGAGUUUCAGAUGAUACUUUAAAAAUAUAUUAUUUGCAAAAUCUGUAGUAGUGUUUAACUAAAUGCAAUAUUUCUUGAUUUUACAAACUGCAAAAGAAUGUUCACUGCCCAGUUGUGACGAACCAGUUUUAGUUAUUUCAGUAUUGGUAAUUUUCAGUCAGUACCUUUGUCAGCCUUUCAUUUACUUUUCUUCCAUUAUUGGAAGUAUAUUGCAAAUCACAAUUACAAAUCUUUCUUGAUUCUCAUUUUUCUGUCUCCAAGCUUGUAAAUCAACUUGGCAUAUAUGAGCUAUUUUUUAAUAGCACAUUCCCUCCAAAAUGUAGUAUAUGGUGAUAUAUACUGUAUGAACUUUGAAAAUAAAUUUACUUUUAACUUUGAAA